rnacentral:rRNA from 1 species
UACGUAGGGUCCGAGCGUUGUCCGGAAUUACUGGGCGUAAAGAGCUCGUAGGUGGUUUGUCGCGUUGUUCGUGAAAACUCACAGCUCAACUGUGGGCGUGCGGGCGAUACGGGCAGACUAGAGUACUGCAGGGGAGACUGUAAUUCCUGGUGUAGCGGUGGAAUGCGCAGAUAUCAGGAGGAACACCGGUGGCGAAGGCGGGUCUCUGGGCAGUAACUGACGCUGAGGAGCGAAAGCGUGGGGAGCGAACAGG